AAACAGAUAGGUUUGGUUCUGGCCUUUCUGUUAACUCUUAGUAAGAUUACACAUGCAAGUAUCACCAUCCUAGUGAAAAUACCCUCUAAAUCAUAAUGAUCAAAAGGAGUAAGUAUCAAGCACAGACAAAUGCAGCUCAAAACACUUUGCUCGGCCACACCCCCACAGGAAGCAGCAGUGAUAAACCUUUAGCAAUAAACGAAAGUUUAACUAAACUAUACUAACACCCAGGGUUGGUUAAUUUCGUGCCAGCCACCGCAGCCAUACGAUUAACCCAAGCUAAUCGAACCCAGCGUAAAGAGUGUUUUAGAUCUGUUCUCAAUAAAGCUAAGCUUCAUCUAAGUUGUAAAAAACCCUAGCUGAAAUAGAAUAAACUAUGAAGGUGAAUUUAAUAUUUCUGAGGACACAAUAGCUAAGACCCAAACUGGGAUUAGAUACCCCACUAUGCUUAGCCCUAAACUCCAAUAGUUAAACCAACAAAACUAUUCGCCAGAACACUACAAGCAAUAGCUUAAAACUCAAAGGACUUGGCGGUGCUUUAUAUCCCUCUAGAGGAGCCUGUUCGAUAUAUUGAUAAACUCCAAUUUACCUCACCACCUCUUGCUCAGCCUAUAUACUGCCAUCUUCAGCAAACCCUAGUAAGGCUGCAAAAUAAGCACAAAUAUCUACGUAAAAACGUUAGGUCAAGUUGUAGCCCACGAGGUGGUAAGAAAUGGGCUAUAUUUUCUACUCCUAGAAAAUCUCACAACAACCCUUAUGAAACCUAAGGGCCCAAGGAGGAUUUAGCAGUAAAUUAGGAGCAGAGUGCUUAAUUGAAUAAGGCCAUAAAGCAUGCACACACUGCCUGUCACCCUCCUCAAGUAUAUUUUAAGGACAAGCUUAACUAAACCUCCUAC
rnacentral:ncRNA from 1 species